AUUCUCAAGAGAGAGAGAAAGUGGCCUUCCUAAUGAAUGGUAGAUCUGCCCCAAAGUGGCUUCUCUGUUGUUCGUAGGAGUGCAACAGUC